GACGAACGCUGGCGGCGUGCUUAACACAUGCAAGUCGAACGGAAAGGCCCUGCUUUUGUGGGGUGCUCGAGUGGCGAACGGGUGAGUAACACGUGAGUAACCUGCCCUUGACUUUGGGAUAACUUCAGGAAACUGGGGCUAAUACCGGAUAGGAGCUCCUGCUGCAUGGCGGGGGUUGGAAAGUUUCGGCGGUUGGGGAUGGACUCGCGGCUUAUCAGCUUGUUGGUGGGGUAGUGGCUUACCAAGGCUUUGACGGGUAGCCGGCCUGAGAGGGUGACCGGCCACAUUGGGACUGAGGGACGGCCCAGACUCCUACGGGAGGCAGCGGUGGGGAAGAUUGCACAAUGGGCGGAAGCCUGAUGCAGCAACGCCGCGUGCGGGAUGACGGCCUUCGGGUUGUAAACCGCUUUCGCCUGUGACGAAGCGUGAGUGACGGUAAUGGGUAAAGAAGCACCGGCUAACUACGUG
rnacentral:rRNA from 1 species